GACGAACGCUGGCGGCGUGCCUAAUACAUGCAAGUCGAGCGAGCGGAACUAACAGAUUUACUUCGGUAAUGACGUUAGGAAAGCGAGCGGCGGAUGGGUGAGUAACACGUGGGGAACCUGCCCCAUAGUCUGGGAUACCACUUGGAAACAGGUGCUAAUACCGGAUAAGAAAGCAGAUCGCAUGAUCAGCUUUUAAAAGGCGGCGUAAGCUGUCGCUAUGGGAUGGCCCCGCGGUGCAUUAGCUAGUUGGUAAGGUAAAGGCUUACCAAGGCGAUGAUGCAUAGCCGCGUUGAGAGACUGAUCGGCCACAUUGGGACUGAGACACGGCCCAAACUCCUACGGGAGGCAGCAGUAGGGAAUCUUCCACAAUGGACGCAAGUCUGAUGGAGCAACGCCGCGUGAGUGAAGAAGGUUUUCGGAUCGUAAAGCUCUGUUGUUGGUGAAGAAGGAUAGAGGUAGUAACUGGCCUUUAUUUGACGGUAAUCAACCAGAAAGUCACGGCUAACUACGUG
rnacentral:rRNA from 1 species